CACGUGUACCGUCGCAGUUUAUUGGCUCGGUAUAUUAGCUGGAGCGAAAGGCAUGAAGGUUAGAUCGCGUCGGAAGGAGCAGAGCUGGCAGGUCAGUUAAAGCGUAGUAUCAUUUAAUGUCUGUAAAUAUGUACGAUGCUCACUUAAUGUACUGAACUGUAGGAGCCCAUUAUUGUGAGCCGGAAAGGGAGAUGGAAAAGAUCCGGUAGUAUGACACAAAACUGCGGAACUGGCCAGAUGGAUGGUGAGCUAUGAGACCAGGCCUAGAGCCAAGGAAGGAAUUCACCUGUUGGUGAUUAAGGACUGUUUACUUCUCCUACCCAGCCGGUAGGAGAAUCCUACAAAGGACUCUGCUCCUUCUUUGAUUGGACUUUCAUUUACCCAAGACGUGAAUCAAGCUCCGGAUACUCGCCUUGUUGGUGAGCCUGAUUGAUCCCCAUUCGGGGUGGAUGGACUAAGGGGGGGUGUGAGAUGAACUUUAACUUUGGGACCGAUUAAUUAAUUAGUUUUUUUUUUUAAUUGUUUAAAUCACUCAAGUUUUAUUACAAAAUAAUUACAAAGUAAAAAAAAAAA